rnacentral:rRNA from 1 species
CCUACGGGAGGCAGCAGUGGGGAAUUUUCCGCAAUGGGCGAAAGCCUGACGGAGCAAUACCGCGUGAGGGAGGAAGGCUUUUGGGUCGUAAACCUCUUUUAUUGGGGAAGAAGUUCUGACGGUACCCAAUGAAUCAGCAUCGGCUAACUCCGUGCCAGCAGCCGCGGUAAUACGGAGGAUGCAAGCGUUAUCCGGAAUUAUUGGGCGUAAAGCGUCCGCAGGUGGUUAAUCAAGUCUGCUGUUAAAGCGUCCAGCUUAACUGGAUAUAGGCAGUGGAAACUGAAUAACUAGAGUACGGUAGGGGUAGCGGGAAUUCCCAGUGUAGCGGUGAAAUGCGUAGAUAUUGGGAAGAACACCAGCGGCGAAAGCGCGCUACUGGGCCUGUACUGACACUGAGGGACGAAAGCUAGGGGAGCGAAAGGGAUUAGAUACCCUUGUAGUC